GGCUGACNCCGAGUCGUUACCCUAACCUGUAUUGGAGGGGGAUGCCGAAGGCAGGGCUGGUGACUGGGGUGAAGUCGUAACAAGGUAGCCGUACCGGAAGGUGUGGCUGGAUCACCUCCUUU
rnacentral:rRNA from 1 species